UACGAAGGGGGCUAGCGUUGUUCGGAAUUACUGGGCGUAAAGCGCGCGCAGGCGGUUCUUCAAGUCAGUGGUGAAAGCCCGGAGCUCAACUCCGGAACUGCCAUUGAAACUGUAGAACUUGAGGAUGAGAGAGGUGAGUGGAAUUCCCAGUGUAGAGGUGAAAUUCGUAGAUAUUGGGAGGAACACCAGUGGCGAAGGCGGCUCACUGGUCCGGUACUGACGCUGAGGUGCGAAAGCGUGGGGAGCAAACAGG
rnacentral:rRNA from 1 species